CUGGUGGUCCGGUAACACAGUGGAGUUGACAACUUCCUAUUACCUAGGGACACCACUGUAGUGCAAUGCAGCACAACACACACAGCAAACUUUGUCAGAGAUAACUGUAAAUAUUUAACAUCUAGACCAGUGAGUGGCUGUCAACCUGAGGGUCACAACCCUCUUGGGGCCGAACAAGCUUUUCACAGAGGAUGCCUAUGGCCAUCAGAAAACACAGAUGUUUACAAGACUCCUAACAGUAGCAAAAUUACAGUUAUGACGCAGCAAUGAAAAUGUAAUUUUAUGACUGGAGUCACCACAACGUGAGCAACUGUAUUAAAGAGUCGCAGCAUCAGGAAGGCUGAGAACCGCUGGCCUAGACAGAAAGGGUUGGAAACCAAACCCAGAACCUCAAGUAUGCAUGCCAAAAGCUCUCAGGCUUGGCCAGCAUUCCCGUCCUCCUGCUGUGUAGUUACUGCUCCCUGGAUCUUUCAAACUGACUUAGAGCACUGAAGAAAGCCACAGCUUUGAAGCUUCCAUGCAAAGCUGCUGUCACAUACGGUUUUCUUUGGAAAAGCUUUAUGCACCUGAGGGCUGCUAAGCAAAUGUAUCCUCAGGCCAUGCAAACAUCAUACCUAAAUAACACAGGAAGAUGACAACGGCAGCUACUUGGACCUUGGCCUACAGUGAGACAAGACUGAAGGCAGACACCAUUCUGCUGCUGUAAUGGCCUACAGCAGUGACACAGAGGAAGAGAAGCAGCUAUGCAAGCACACAGCCUUGCUUUCCUUGCCUGGGGAUGGGAUCCAAAGCCCUGUGCAAGCUCUGAGCUUUACCCUGGAUACCUCCUCUUCUACACUCUUUUUUUUUCCCCUUUUUUUCUUUUGUUUUUUUGAGACAGUGUUUCUCAGUAGCUAUGGAGUCAGUCCUGGAACUCACUCUGUAGACCA